ACAGAAGGGGAGCUUGCUCCCGGAUGUUAGCGGCGGACGGGUGAGUAACACGUGGGUAACCUGCCUGUAAGACUGGGAUAACUCCGGGAAACCGGAGCUAAUACCGGAUAGUUCCUUGAACCGCAUGGUUCAAGGAUGAAAGACGGUUUCGGCUGUCACUUACAGAUGGACCCGCGGCGCAUUAGCUAGUUGGUGGGGUAAUGGCUCACCAAGGCGACGAUGCGUAGCCGACCUGAGAGGGUGAUCGGCCACACUGGGACUGAGACACGGCCCAGACUCCUACGGGAGGCAGCAGUAGGGAAUCUUCCGCAAUGGACGAAAGUCUGACGGAGCAACGCCGCGUGAGUGAUGAAGGUUUUCGGAUCGUAAAGCUCUGUUGUUAGGGAAGAACAAGUGCGAGAGUAACUGCUCGCACCUUGACGGUACCUAACCAGAAAGCCACGGCUAACUACGUGCCAGCAGCCGCGGUAAUACGUAGGUGGCAAGCGUUGUCCGGAAUUAUUGGGCGUAAAGGGCUCGCAGGCGGUUUCUUAAGUCUGAUGUGAAAGCCCCCGGCUCAACCGGGGAGGGUCAUUGGAAACUGGGAAACUUGAGUGCAGAAGAGGAGAGUGGAAUUCCACGUGUAGCGGUGAAAUGCGUAGAGAUGUGGAGGAACACCAGUGGCGAAAGCGACUCUCUGGUCUGUAACUGACGCUGAGGAGCGAAAGCGUGGGGAGCGAACAGGAUUAUAUACCCUGGUAGUCCACGCCGUAAACGAUGAGUGCUAAGUGUUAGGGGGGGUUCCGCCCCUUAUUGCUGCAGCUAAAGCAUUAAGCACUCCGCCUGGCGAGAGGGUCGCGGGAU
rnacentral:rRNA from 1 species